GGGCUGGGUUGGGCUGUUGUCCCGCCGCCGCCGCCGCCGCUGCCGCGGUCCCGCCCGCCGGCCGAGAGGGGAGAGCGGGAGAGAGCCGAAAGCUGCGCCCGGCCAGCCGAGCCCACCGGCCGUCCCCUCCAGGGGCUGAUUUCUUGGACCGCUCAGCACGUAAGAAGUAACCAAGCGAAUUCUCUGUGAGCUCUGGUAUUUUUUAAGAUACGCUUCCUGAAACAGCUUGCUGGCUGCUAAGCACUACUUUCUAGAAAAACAGGAUUAUUUCCCCAAAAGAUUUCGUGUACGGAACAGGCUAGUUUCUGCAGGAGACGCUUAUCCUCCUGAGCCUCUCUUAUGUUUUGCCUGUAACAGAGAAAGUGCUCGUUCAAGCUUUUGUUACAGCUCAACAUUUCCAAGCUUUGUAUCCUCACGGAGAUAAGAUGCUACAUUUAUACAUUAAAAGGAAGAGAUCUCCAUCAAA